rnacentral:rRNA from 1 species
CACUCGUUCCCAUCCCGAACACGACCGUUAAGCCCUCCAGCGCCGAUGGUACUUGGGGUGCAGACCCCUGGGAGAGUAGGACGUUGCCAGGC